CGUUAAUCGGAAUUACUGGGCGUAAAGCGGGCGCAGACGGUUACUUAAGCAGGAUGUGAAAUCCCCGGGCUCAACCCGGGAACUGCGUUCUGAACUGGGUGACUCGAGUGUGUCAGAGGGAGGUGGAAUUCCACGUGUAGCAGUGAAAUGCGUAGAGAUGUGGAGGAAUACCGAUGGCGAAGGCAGCCUCCUGGGAUAACACUGACGUUCAUGUCCGAAAGCGUGGGUAGCAAACAGGAUUAGAUACCCUGGUAGUCCACGCCCUAAACGAUGUCAAUUAGCUGUUGGGCAACUUGAUUGCUUGGUAGCGUAGCUAACGCGUGAAAUUGACCGCCUGGGGAGUACGGUCGCAAGAUUAAAACUCAAAGGAAUUGACGGGGACCCGCACAAGCGGUGGAUGAUGUGGAUUAAUUCGAUGCAACGCGAAGAACCUUACCUGGUUUUGACAUGUGCGGAAUCCUCCGGAGACGGAGGAGUGCCUUCGGGAGCCGUAACACAGGUGCUGCAUGGCUGUCGUCAGCUCGUGUCGUGAGAUGUUGGGUUAAGUCCCGCAACGAGCGCAACCCUUGUCAUUAGUUGCCAUCAUUCGGUUGGGCACUCUAAUGAGACUGCCGGUGACAAGCCGGAGGAAGGUGGGGAUGACGUCAAGUCCUCAUGGCCCUUAUGACCAGGGCUUCACACGUCAUACAAUGGUCGGUACAGAGGGUAGCCAAGCCGCGAGGCGGAGCCAAUCUCACAAAACCGAUCGUAGUCCGGAUUGCACUCUGCAACUCGAGUGCAUGAAGUCGGAAUCGCUAGUAAUCGCAGGUCAGCAUACUGCGGUGAAUACGUUCCCGGGUCUUGUACACACCGCCCGUCACACCAUGGGAGUGGGGGAUACCAGAAGUAGGUAGGGUAACCGCAAGGAGUCCGCUUACCA
rnacentral:rRNA from 1 species